GUUUGGAAAUUUUGCCAAAAUUGGACGAGCCGCCUGGGCGAGUUCAAUUUGGCAAAUUUCCAAACAUCACAAGUACUAUUAAUCCCUAAUUGUACGAGCAACAUCGCAUGAUGCCUACAAUGCAAUAUAGUAAUUGCGAAAACAGUAAACAUUUUGAAAUGUGGUUAUUCAACGUUUUGACUAGAUUUUAGUCAUCAUCAGGAACGAUGAACUUAUUACAUAUCAGUAUUUAUUAUAUAGUAGAGAGUGAGAUACUGAAAAAUACACAGGGAGAUAUUUUCCAUAUCUUCAACUAGUGAAGAUAUCGAUGACGUGACUUUUUCCAAAUUCCUGAAAUAUUGCAUGUAUAAAUGGACCUUUCCCCUUGUAACUAAAAUUUCGAUCUAGACAAAAAUUUCAUCACAGCUUGAAAGAGCAUCACAAAAUUCGUGAUAUUCCAAAGUUUUGUUGCAAAAUCUUGUAAAAUGCGGAUAAUAUAGCCUUGCGAAGUUUGCCAUUUUUCAGUCAUUUUGUAUUACGCACGGGAAAUUGACAUCCGAUUCGGGUGUUGGGGCUGCAAUUUCCCGUUUGUAAUGCAAAAUGACUGAAAAUUGCAAACUUCGCAAGGCUCUAUUUUACUCAUUUUACAACAUUUCGCAACGAAACUUUGGAAUAUUACUAAUUUUGUGAUGCUCUUUCAAGCUGUGAUGAAAUAUUUGUCUAGAC